GGGCCCGUGGUCUAAUCCGGCAUGACACUUCCUUCGCAGGGAAGUAACUCCGAGUUCAAAUCUCGGCGGGUCCA
rnacentral:tRNA from 1 species